ACUUUUCGUAAACUAAUUAUUCAAUACACCACAAAAAUAAUAAUCAAGGAGAUAUUCAUUUAUAAAAGCCAGCAAUUUACUAUUAUUAUUAUUCCAUGUUUUUUGUUUUAUUUUUAAAAAUGGUUUAAACAUAGAUUUUUAUUGGGGAAUAUUAAAUACAAUCACCAACAUUCAAAAAAAUGGUUAAAUCAAAUUUUUUUAAAUGGGUUCUUAAAUACCAAUAAAUUACUAACUUCCAUUAUGAACUAUAGGUACACGCAUUUAUUUGGUAUGUCUAAUAAAAAUAAAUUACAGAAUUCAUGAAUUUAAAACACAGA